UUCGAGCGUCAUUACACCACUCAAGCUCUGCUUGGUAUUAGGCCUCACCUGCUAAAGGCGGGCCGUAAAAUCAGUGGCGGUGCAUCUGGCUUCAAGCUUAGUAAUUUUUCUAGCUUAGGAGUACCAGGUGAGUGCCUGCCAGCAACCCCAAUUUUUUAAAGGUUGACCUCGGAUCAGGUAGGGAUACCCGCUGAACUUAA
rnacentral:misc_RNA from 1 species